rnacentral:rRNA from 1 species
GACGAACGCUGGCGGCGUGCUUAACACAUGCAAGUCGAACGGUGAAGCGCCUUCCUUUUUGGUGGGUGUGGAUGAGUGGCGAACGGGUGAGUAACACGUGAGUAACCUGCCCCCUUCUUCUGGAUAACCGCAUGAAAGUGUGGCUAAUACGGGAUAUUCUGGGUCUGUCGCAUGAUGGGUCUGGGAAAGAUAUUGUUUCGGUGGGGGAUGGGCUCGCGGCCUAUCAGCUUGUUGGUGGGGUGAUGGCCUACCAAGGCGGUGACGGGUAGCCGGCCUGAGAGGGUGGACGGUCACACUGGGACUGAGACACGGACCAGACUCCUACGGGAGGCAGCAGUGGGGAAUAUUGCACAAUGGGCGCAAGCCUGAUGCAGCGACGCCGCGUGAGGGAUGGAGGCCUUCGGGUUGUGAACCUCUUUCGCCAGUGAAGCAGGCCUGCCUCGUUUGUGGGUGGGUUGACGGUAGCUGGAUAAGAAGCGCCGGCUAACUACGUG